ACCGGAAGCUAGUAAGUGUAUAGGGUCAUCAGGAGAUAAUGUGCACGGUUUCGGGGCCUACCUCUCCACGGCAUCAAUGCGCACCGGCCCCCCUCACUGAUAUGAGGCCACGCUUGCUAGAUCAACUUCAGCUGAAUAUCCUUC